GCGCAGCAGUCUGCCGCUGAUACUCAAACUGUGUUACAGUCUCACGGAGUGUCUGUGUGUGUUACUGCCUUUGACGAUACAGUAGCUACACAUAUCUGAGAUAAUUUACGUCUCCUAGUUUUACAUCAAACAUCAUUCACGAGUGCGAAGAUUUUGUUUCCCGGAUAAUGGGAUAUUUGGAUGGAUAUUUUAUCAGGAGACGUUUGUUAACAGGACACGUGGGGAAACGCUAAUUAACUUGACUCCUGGAGAUAAAGUGGAUUUAUUUCUGGAUUCGUGUGGAAAUAGAUUCGUUUAGGAUUCGGUGUGUAUAAUGCUUUCUGAAUAUAAUCUGGGUUAAAUGGUCGAUCUUUGGGAUACUGCUCACCGAAGACACAGAUUUAUGGAACUUAACCUGUGGAAUAAACUCACUUUAAAAGGAUAAAAGAUUGCCAGGAACACGAGAAUUAUCAUGACAGCGGAUCCACCCUGAUUUUGCCUCGUUCUUCCUGAAGAGAGGAAAGAGCCUGAUGUGCAGUCAUCUGAGCUCACUGCCAAAUGUCUUCACCAGAUCUCUGUCCGGACCCUCAAUGAUGCUCUGUUUCAGUGCAAUGACAAACUGAUUGGAUAUAAUCUUGAGCGGUGGACUCAAGAGAUGGUGAGCGAUCGGUAAACUCUACGGUACGCAUUGUAGGGAAGGAUCAUCUUUCUCCUCAAGUAGGCAAUGAAUUGAGUUGGAUAGUCUCUCUCCUUCUGUUACGACAUGGGACUAAAUCCAAACCAUGUGUCCUUACACCUGGUUCGCUGCUUUUUCCCACCUCCCACAUGAGCAGUCUGGACAGAUCCAUUUCACGGCCCCCUCUGCCAUGUAGCGUUCUCACUUUCGAAGCCCUACGUGAGCCUCUCAGUGGGACUCUGGCUUAAUUGGCUGGAACUUUCCCAUAUCCGGUCUCCAAAGGUGGCCCCCGUGUGAGGAGUGUGUGUUAUUGGGAAGUGUCUGAGGAGAGAGGAUGAAAACAGGAACACUGUUCAAUCCUGCAUAUCAAGAGAAGAACUGGUCACCCUGCACAACACACACACAAUUUCUCUUUUUGGAUUAAAAAUGUGACCCUUUUCUGCACAGCAUGGAUAUCUUUUUCCAUUUUAAACCUACUUUUGUUCAGAGAUGUUUGAAGACAUUGAUUUCGUAAGCACCCGGUUGAAUUGUCACUGUUGUCAUCAUGGCACUGAUGAUAACAUUUCAUCACAUUUUUAUAUCUGCCUUUUUUGGUGGCAUUUCAUGACAGAUGCAUGAUUAUAUUGGACUAUAAAAAAAUUUCAUUCUGUUUGUUUUUCUUUUAAACCAGUUUUUGGAUAGACCCUUUUCACAUUUCCGGGUUUUGAAUGCAGAAGUAAAGUAUAGGAGUGUAAACAGCACAGCUUGUGUACAGAGGUCGGUGAAAGACCUUUGCAAUUAUUACUUUUUAUGUUCCCAUUUGCUCCCAACAGGAAAAUAAAAAUCCACUUCUACAUUUCUACAACUUUCCACAAGAGGAAAAAAUGGAUUGCAACAUUCAGAUAAGAGAAACAUGCCAAAUUUCCAGUCACUCCCUCAGCAUCUGUAUUUGGUAAAAUAAUAUAAAGUACAGUGAUAUAAAUACACAUUGAAUAAGAAAAAAACCUUUGUUAGGUGUACCCUUCAAAAUUAAAGCAGAGAUACAUGCACUGGAUCCUGCAAUGAAUACAAAGAACUUAACUGGAACGACAAAACGUGGGCUUGGCAAGUUUACCCACUAUUCUCUCUUCCUGAAAGUAGGCAUUAUCAUUCUCUGUUGGGAUGCCCUUAUACAGCUUCAAUUGAACAAAACUGUAAAAAGAUAUUAAAUGGUAAUAAUAAACACUAAUAUUUCUACUUAACCCUGACAUAUGUAAUAAUUGCACUGUUGGAAUGUCCCCUGAUGGCAGGCCUUGAAUCUAUCAGCAUCUGUACACAAAAACAAAAGCUCAGAACUGACUCUCACUGUAUAAACAGACUAAUUACUUCUGUUAGGCUUAUCUGACAUUGGCUUACUAUAAUCAAUAUGUGUGUGUGGUAGACAUCCUGUUUAAACACCAGGAGGUUUAUCGAGCUGUGGUUUGGGCUCUUCCUGCAUAGCUGCAGUGAAUGCUUAGUAAUGCUGAGGCUGACAUUCACGUUAUCUGAAUUUUCUUUGCUUUCCUCAAAAAUGUUUCAUUACAGAUUGGAAAUUCUGUGGAAUCACAGCUGUAAUUUCCUCGUUUGUGUGUAUUUCAGCCAACUAACAACUUUACAGAAUAAUAGAAGUAUUUCCUUAUAUUGUUUUCCUGCGUGUGUGCUCUAGCUAGCUAAUGUUUGGGGAGAAAUGUGUUCCCAAAGGUGAGUUAAAUCUAAAAAAAAGCUGCCUUCGGGGAUGUUUUGUCACUAAACAUCUGUUUUAGAACCAUUAUGAUUUUCUUGCAUUGUGACAUUUUUCAUGACAAUCCCAAAAAAAAGUUCUAAGUUUACUUGACGGUUGUAUAUCAUGAACUGAUUUAAAUGAUGAAUUUUUGUAAAAAAAAAAUUAAAACAUUUUGUG